GUACUGCUGAAGAUUUCCAAAUAGGAUGAAACAGCUGUCCAGUAC
rnacentral:hammerhead_ribozyme from 1 species